rnacentral:rRNA from 1 species
AACGAACGCUGGCGGCAUGCCUAACACAUGCAAGUCGAACGAGACCUUCGGGUCUUGUGGCGCACGUGUGCGUAACGCGUGGGAACCUGCCCUUAGGUUCGGAAUAACUCCCCGAAAGGGGUGCUAAUACCGGAUAAUGUCUUCGGACCAAAGAUUUAUCGCCUAUGGUUGGGCCCGCGUUGGAUUAGCUAGUUGGUAGGGUAAAAGCCUACCAAGGCGACGAUCCAUAGCUGGUCUGAGAGGAUGAUCAGCCACACUGGGACUGAGACCCGGCCCAGACUCCUGAGGGAGGCAGCAGUGGGGAAUAUUAGACAAUGGGCGAAAGACUGAUCCAGCAAUGCCGCGUGAGUGAUGAAGGCCUUAGGGUUGUAAAGCUCUUUUACCCGGGAUGAUAAUGACAGUACCGGGAGAAUAAGCCCCGGCUAACUCCGUG